AUUGAACGCUGGCGGCAGGCUUAACACAUGCAAGUCGAACGGUAGCAGGUAAGUACUUGUACUUAUGCUGACGAGUGGCGGACGGGUGAGUAAUGCUUGGGGAUCUGGCUUAUGGAGGGGGAUAACUACGGGAAACUGUAGCUAAUACCGCGUAGAAUCGGAAGAUGAAAGUGCGGGACCGCAAGGCCGCAUGCCAUGAGAUGAGCCCAAGUGGGAUUAGGUAGUUGGUGGGGUAAGGGCCUACCAAGCCUGCGAUCUCUAGCUGGUCUGAGAGGAUGGCCAGCCACACUGGAACUGAGACACGGUCCAGACUCCUACGGGAGGCAGCAGUGGGGAAUAUUGCGCAAUGGGGGGAACCCUGACGCAGCCAUGCCGCGUGAAUGAAGAAGGCCUUCGGGUUGUAAAGUUCUUUCGGUAUUGAGGAAGGUUGAUGUGUUAAUAGUACAUCAAAUUGACGUUAAAUACAGAAGAAGCACCGGCUAACUCCGUGCCAGCAGCCGCGGUAAUACGGAGGGUGCGAGCGUUAAUCGGAAUAACUGGGCGUAAAGGGCACGCAGGCGGUUAUUUAAGUGAGGUGUGAAAGCCCCGGGCUUAACCUGGGAAUUGCAUUUCAGACUGGGUAACUAGAGUACUUUAGGGAGGGGUAGAAUUCCACGUGUAGCGGUGAAAUGCGUAGAGAUGUGGAGGAAUACCGAAGGCGAAGGCAGCCCCUUGGGAAUGUACUGACGCUCAUGUGCGAAAGCGUGGGGAGCAAACAGG
rnacentral:rRNA from 1 species